rnacentral:rRNA from 1 species
UAUGGUAAUUGCCAGCAGCCGCGGUAAUACGUAGGUGGCGAGCGUUGUCCGGAAUUAUUGGGCGUAAAGAGCAUGUAGGCGGCUUAAUAAGUCGAGCGUGAAAAUGCGGGGCUCAACCCCGUAUGGCGCUGGAAACUGUUAGGCUUGAGUGCAGGAGAGGAAAGGGGAAUUCCCAGUGUAGCGGUGAAAUGCGUAGAUAUUGGGAGGAACACCAGUGGCGAAGGCGCCUUUCUGGACUGUGUCUGACGCUGAGAUGCGAAAGCCAGGGUAGCGAACGGG